GACGAACGCUGGCGGCGCGCUUAACACAUGCAAGUCGAACGGAAAGGCCCUGCUUGCAGGGUGCUCGAGUGGCGAACGGGUGAGUAACACGUGGGUGAUCUGCCCCUUACUUUGGGAUAAGCCUGGGAAACUGGGUCUAAUACUGGAUAGGACCAUGCUGUAGGUGGUGUGGUGGAAAGAUUAGUUUCGGUAAGGGAUGAGCUCGCGGCCUAUCAGCUUGUUGGUGGGGUAAUGGCCUACCAAGGCGUCGACGGGUAGCCGGCCUGAGAGGGUGGACGGCCACAUUGGGACUGAGAUACGGCCCAGACUCCUACGGGAGGCAGCAGUGGGGAAUAUUGCACAAUGGGCGCAAGCCUGAUGCAGCGACGCCGCGUGGGGGCUGACGGCCUUCGGGUUGUAAACUCCUUUCAGCCAUGACGAAGCCCUUGUGGUGACGGUAGUGGUAGAAGAAGCACCGGCUAACUACGUG
rnacentral:rRNA from 1 species